GAUGAACGCUGGCGGCGUGCCUAAUACAUGCAAGUCGAGCGAACAGACGAGGAGCUUGCUCCUCUGACGUUAGCGGCGGACGGGUGAGUAACACGUGGAUAACCUACCUAUAAGACUGGGAUAACUUCGGGAAACCGGAGCUAAUACCGGAUAAUAUAUUGAACCGCAUGGUUCACUAGUGAAAGACGGUUUUGCUGUCACUUAUAGCUGGAUCCGCGCCGCAUUAGCUAGUUGGUAAGGUAACGGCUUACCAAGGCAACGAUGCGUAGCCGACCUGAGAGGGUGAUCGGCCACACUGGAACUGAGACACGGUCCAGACUCCUACGGGAGGCAGCAGUAGGGAAUCUUCCGCAAUGGGCGAAAGCUUGACGGAGCAACGCCGCGUGAGUGAUGAAGGUCUUCGGAUCGUAAAACUCUGUUAUUAGGGAAGAACAAAUGUGUAAGUAACUAUGCACGUCUUGACGGUACCUAAUCAGAAAGCCACGGCUAACUACGUG
rnacentral:rRNA from 1 species